rnacentral:rRNA from 1 species
AGUGGGGAAUAUUGGACAAUGGGCGGAAGCCUGAUCCAGCCAUGCCGCGUGUGUGAAGAAGGCCUUUUGGUUGUAAAGCACUUUAAGCGAGGAGGAGGCUCCUUUAGUUAAUACCUAAAGAGAGUGGACGUUACUCGCAGAAUAAGCACCGGCUAACUCUGUGCCAGCAGCCGCGGUAAUACAGAGGGUGCGAGCGUUAAUCGGAUUUACUGGGCGUAAAGCGUGCGUAGGCGGCUUUUUAAGUCGGAUGUGAAAUCCCUGAGCUUAACUUAGGAAUUGCAUUCGAUACUGGGAAGCUAGAGUAUGGGAGAGGAUGGUAGAAUUCCAGGUGUAGCGGUGAAAUGCGUAGAGAUCUGGAGGAAUACCGAUGGCGAAGGCAGCCAUCUGGCCUAAUACUGACGCUGAGGUACGAAAGCAUGGGGAGCAAA